rnacentral:rRNA from 1 species
GACGAACGCUGGCGGCGUGCCUAAUACAUGCAAGUAGAACGCUGAAGAGAGGAGCUUGCUCUUCUUGGAAGAGUUGCGAACGGGUGAGUAACGCGUAGGUAACCUGCCUUGUAGCGGGGGAUAACUAUUGGAAGCGAUAGCUAAUACCGCAUAACAAUGGAUGACCCAUGUCAUUUCUUUGAAAGGGGCAACUGCUCCACUACAAGAUGGACCUGCGUUGUAUUAGCUAGUAGGUGAGGUAACGGCUCACCUAGGCGACGAUACAUAGCCGACCUGCGAGGGUGAUCGGCCACACUGGGACUAAGGGACGGCCCAGACUCCUUCGGGAGGCAGCAGUAGGGAAUCUUCGGGAAUGGGGGCAACCCUGAGCGAGCAAAGCCGCGGGAGUGAAGAAGGUUUUCGGAUCGUAAAGCUCUGUUGUAAGUCAAGAACGAGUGUGAGAGUGGAAAGUUCACACUGUGACGGUAGCUUACCAGAAAGGGACGGCUAACUACGUGCCAGCCGCCGCAGUAA